AUCAAAAAAGUAAUAACUGAAACCUGAAGAGCUUUCUGCAGUGAAGGAGAAUUAAAAUUUAUUUUUUGUCAGUAAGGAAUGCAACACUGAAAGGAGAUUACCACUUCAAGACAGAAAACACUACCUCUUGCUGAGGGCCAUGAGGAAGUAUAAUGAGUCUAAGUCUAAUAAGUCUAAGAAUGGAAUUGGAUUUUAUCUCUUCCUCAUUUGUAUAUCCUCCACUGAAUUGCUGCCACAUUAGAUCCGAUUUCUAGGAAUGCUGCCAGAAGAGAGUAAAACCUUCCAUGUGUCUAUAACAAAUGGGUCUUAUCAUUAUUUAAGUAAGUAUAGGGAUAUAAAUUUUGUUUGUUUAUGGCUUACAAAGUAUUCUUACAAGUCAGUACUGGGAAAUACAUGGCUGCAAAAUGUUUGUUUGAAGAACAGGUAAACAGGUAUGAAUUGGGAUAAAUCAACUCAGCUGAAAGCAGCAGAGGGCAGUGUGAUGAAUCUGCUGAGAAUAAAUCUCUGGAUAUGGUUCCAUUCCUCAUUACCACAAGACAGGCAGUGAAGGGAUGGUGCUAUACAACUGAGAAGGUAGCUGGAGAUUCAGGAAGGACGACAGCUAGUGUAAGGGCCUGUAACAAGCUGAUUUUCUGGAGUCACCACAUGCACAUCACUCAAAAAUUCACCUUAACAUAAAUCAUAGUUGAUACAGAAGGAAAACUAAGCCUGUCCCCGUGCCUCUUGCAUUCAGUUUACCUUCUGCAAUGCAACCUGAAAAUCAAGUCAAGCACUCGAGGGAUGAUAAAACCUUUAGACUUGGAAGGCAGAAGCAUUUAGCAGUACCAUGCAACAGAGAAAAUAUAAAUGCAGGUGAAAGAGCUGAAGAAGACAAUCUAGAAGAAAAUUGUUUUCACAUAAAAUGUGUCAGGUUGUUAGGACGUGCACUGACAGAUGAUACAUAGGCAGGCAAAAAAAGAACAGGAGGAAAAUAAUAAUGAGGAAUAGGGAUGAAUUCAUCCAGUGUAAGAUACAUUCUCCCUCCACGAGGUAGUUUGUAGUUGCUUGAUAGAAUUUUCUUUGAAAUGUCUUUGUAUAAUUUACUCACCUGAUUUGCUAUGACUGUCCCUAAUGAACAGUACAGUAAGCAUUUUAAUGAGAAAACAGCAACAGAAAUUGAACCUAAUGAUUUUUAAGGACUGAGGGACUUUGAAGAAGGAUCAUAAGAAAAUUACAUGGGAGCAAGAGAAAAAAGAAGAGAGGCUAAGAGUUACCAUGAAAGGCAUUAAUGUGUUAUGGUAUAUUAUAAACAAAUCAUAGAAGUACCUGGGUUAGUUAAAAUUAUUAAAAUGAAUAUUCUACUAAUUCAGAUUCCUGGAAAAGGGGUUCUUUAAAUAAGGAAGUAAAGAGAAGACUGUGUUGAUUUAAAAAAAAUACACCAAAAAACUGAUCACCAAACACUGAUACAUUUGAACAGUUUGCUUCUUUUCUUUCAGAAAACCUAAUGCUAUUUCAUUACAAAAGGGCCACACCUAAAACCACCAGUUUGCUCUGACAUAUACCUAGACAUUGUGAACAAGUCCACAGUGUAACUGGUCAGCAUGCAGAUUUGUCUGGAUAAAACUGGACAUCUGAAACUCUACUGCAACUCCAUCUAAGACCAAGAUACAUCUGAGACUAAGAUCACACUGAACUAUAACUAGAACUAUGUUUUUACAAUCAUAUGGACCUAAAAGCCAUAGAAUUUUAGGUAAUAGAAGAAAAAAAACACCAAUAUCUUGUCCCAGUUGCAAAGAACUUCCCUGGAAAAAUACAGUAUAACUGUCAUGAGCAACACCCAAAGAGAUUUUCUUUUGUUUGCAGAUCUUGUUGGGAAAAUGCAUUAUGAAAAUAAGAAAUAGACUUUCCACAGAUGUUAUCUAGGAAUAUUUCACAUAUUUAACUGCCUUUUAAGUGAACUACUUCUAGAGUGUUAAUUACAUUUCACGCCUCUGCCCCAUGGCGACAAGUUUGGCCAAAAUGGACUGACAGGCACAAUCCAAAAUAUUGACCAUGAUGUUAAGAUAGGUUAAAAGAAAUCUCAGCUUUGCAAAAGUAAAAUUUUGGAUAAGAGAAUUGUUGUGACUUGGUACAACUCUACAAAGGCUCUUCAAUAAUAUUUUCUUAAAUCAUAAUUCCCAGAAGAAGCACUUCAGAGUGAACACUUUUAGGAGUGACAUCACUCCAUAAAUUCACAUGCUGGUUUGGGUUUUUUUCCCCUGGCAGAUUAUUUGGCAGAAAUGUUUCUAGGAUUGAUAUUCAACUACCUUAGAGAAAAAGACAGUGGUACACAUAUCUGAAGUACCUGUAGGCAAUCUACUUGAUGAUUCACAUGUCCUCAUUAAGCCUCUCCUUCUCACUGUGAGUGUGUUCUAAAGCAGCAAGAUUUUACAAUAUUGGGGUUUUUUAAAUGUUCAUGGAACAAAAAUUCAAAUCAAAAUAAUUGUCUCUAAAUGCAGUGCUUGCCAAGAAAUUAACUUGCAGUAUUAUUCAGACAAAAGGCUCUUUUGUUUCCAUAACUUUAUUUCCUCUCUACCAAAGGCUUAUGUAUGACUAAAACAAGUACAUAUUGAGAAGAUGAUUCCUGUUCUGCCUAAUGACUUUGAUUGCAAAACCUGAAAAACAUCCCUGAACUAAAAUGGUGCAUUAUCACUGUCUUAAAAAGUGAAUCUUUUUGGCUGUGAAUGUUCAGAAAGCUGUUUUAUAAAACAGAAUAUAAAUGCAUUACCUGAAACAUAAAUAACGUGGGUGUUAGCAAACUAUUCCUCUCUAAAGAGAGGUUUUUCAACCCUAGCUUAAAGGAGGUUGAGAAAUCAAUUUUAUGACCGGUAUUUGACAUUUGUCCACAGCAGAGAGGUACCAUAUGAUUUGACAGUUGCUGAAUCUGUGCUUAGGGUUAUACAGACAUAAAAAGGGGGGAUUUGUAGGUCAAAAAUUAGCUCCAUUGCCACUGUUUCUGGAGAAGCUGGCAAAGCAUAUGGCCCUCCUGAAAUGUCUGUUCUGUGCUUGGAGGCUACUGACAUCCAAAGAGACACUUUCUCUUUUUUAGUUUAACCUCAUCUCUGCCUUAGUGCCUGGAUUUUGUUCUGCUGUCACCAGGCCUGAGUAUGUAAAGAUCAAUCACCACGACUGUUGACAGACUGAUGGCAUUUUUCUCUGUCAAUCAAGCAUUUCUGGGAUGGAGCUGGUCCACCUUCUCAAACAAGCAUCAGAGACAGCUUUGGCAGCAACAGUAAAAACUGCACCCCAAAAAGAAAAAACCCCUGUCCUAACAAGAUAAUGCAUAAUUGUAAUCUGAAAUUGACACAAUCAGAUUUUACCACCCUUUUACUGAGUUCAAAAACAGCACUCUGAAGUCUUUGUAGCCAACUAUUGCAAACUUGAAGAUACUAAGCAACAUUCAUACAUUAAACAGAAACAACCUUUCAAAAUAUGAAGUCUUGUCUAAGUAUGCCUUACCCUACCUCCUUCUCAUCACCCAUCCACCCGAACACUGCAAAUGAACUGAGUUGUUAAAAUUUUUGAGACGACUGCACAACCACCUUCUGCAUGAAAAUCGAGCAGCUUAAAUCUGCAGCAUGUUCAACACCUUCAGCCUCCCCAAAAUUCCUGCUGAACAACUGGCGUGAAUCUCCUUCUCUCACCUACAGACUGUCACCAGCCCGUGCAACAGACGAGGGAGGUUCAGCCGUGCGUGAGUCUGUAACAGCAGUUUGACAGAGAAUAUUGUGCAUACUUGGAACUCUAUAAGGCUGUAUGGAAAUGACAAAUUCAGGGCAUUUACAAUGAAGUUUUGCAGUUCUGGAGUUGUCAGGCUUCUCUCUUAGACCUGCAGAUUCCAUUCAGUUUUGGGGAAGAAACACAUCACUCAGUGUCAAGGUACCCAGGAAAUUGCAAAGUUUUUCCUAAGGGAGAGUCUGCCUUUACAUAUGAUCAAUGUAUAAAAAGGAGGGAGAAGGAAAAUCUUCAAGAAUUUUAUCAACAAAAUGUAUAACAAUACAGGAAGCAUAUUGUUAUAUCAAUCUGAUAUACGCUUAAGAAAAGUUAUUGUAAAAUAUCUGUUCUUGAUAUAUCUGUGAAAGCUCAUUAUAAAUGUCAAAAUCUACAGAUUCUUGACAAUCAUGUCAAGUAAUAAACAAAAAAAUCAAUAAAUACUGAAAAAAA